GACGAACGCUGGCGGCGUGCUUAACACAUGCAAGUCGAGCGGUAAGGCCCUUUCGGGGGUACACGAGCGGCGAACGGGUGAGUAACACGUGGGUGACCUGCCCUCAGCUCUGGGAUAAGCCUGGGAAACCGGGUCUAAUACUGGAUAUGACUCCAUGACGCAUGUUGUGGGGUGGAAAGCCUUGUGCGGCUGAGGAUGGGCCCGCGGCCUAUCAGCUUGUUGGUGGGGUGAUGGCCUACCAAGGCGACGACGGGUAGCCGGCCUGAGAGGGCGACCGGCCACACUGGGACUGAGACACGGCCCAGACUCCUACGGGAGGCAGCAGUGGGGAAUCUUGCGCAAUGGGCGAAAGCCUGACGCAGCGACGCCGCGUGAGGGAUGACGCCU
rnacentral:rRNA from 1 species